GCGGGCGUAGCUCAGUGGUGGAGCUUGUGCUUUGCACUCAUGAGGCCCCAGGUUCGAUCCCUGGCAUCUCCA
rnacentral:tRNA from 1 species